rnacentral:rRNA from 1 species
AACGAACGCUGGCGGCAGGCCUAAAACAUGCAAGUCGAACGCCCCGCAAGGGGAGUGGCGCACGGGUGAGUAACGCGUGGGAACGUGCCCUUCAGUACGGGACAACGUCGGGAAACUGACGCUAAUACCGUAUAAUAUCUCCGGAUCAAAGAUUUAUCGCUGAGGGAGCGGCCCGCGUCUGAUUAGCUAGUUGGUGAGGUAAUGGCUCACCAAGGCUACGAUCAGUAGCAGGUCUGAGAGGAUGAUCUGCCACACUGGGACUGAGACACGGCCCAGACUCCUACGGGAGGCAGCAGUUAGGAAUAUUGGACAAUGGGGGAAACCCUGAUCCAGCCAUGCCGCGUGUGUGAUGAAGGCCCUAGGGUUGUAAAGCACUUUCGUUGGGGAUGAUAAUGACCGUACCCAAAGAAGAAGCCACGGCUAAAUUCGUGCCAGCAGCCGCCGUAA